rnacentral:rRNA from 1 species
UACGAAGGGUGCAAGCGUUAUUCGGAAUGAUUGGGCGUAAAGGGUGCGUAGGCGGCCUGUUAAGUCAACUGUUCAAUCUCUCGGCCUAACCGAGAAUCAGCAGUAGAUACUGACGAGCUAGAGGAUGGAAGAGAGAAGUGGAAUUCUCGGAGUAGCGGUAAAAUGCGUAGAUCUCGAGAGGAACACCGAUGGCGAAGGCAGCUUCUUGGUCCAUAUCUGACGCUGAGGCACGAAAGCGUGGGGAGCAAACAGG